AUUGAACGCUGGCGGCAUGCCUUACACAUGCAAGUCGAACAGCAGCACGGGUGCUUGCACCUGGUGGCGAGUGGCGAACGGGUGAGUAAUACAUCGGAGCGUACCUUAUCGUGGGGGAUAACGCAGCGAAAGCUGUGCUAAUACCGCAUACGCCCUGAGGGGGAAAGCGGGGGAUCGCAAGACCUCACGCGAUUAGAGCGGCCGAUGCCUGAUUAGCUUGUUGGUGGGGUAAAAGCCCACCAAGGCGACGAUCAGUAGCUGGUCUGAGAGGACGAUCAGCCACACUGGGACUGAGACACGGCCCAGACUCCUACGGGAGGCAGCAGUGGGGAAUAUUGGACAAUGGGCGCAAGCCUGAUCCAGCCAUGCCGCGUGAGUGAUGAAGGCCUUCGGGUUGUAAAGCUCUUUCGCAAGGGAAGAAAACUCGAUCUCUAAUAUAGGUUGAGGCUGACGGUACCUUGAUAAGAAGCACCGGCUAACUACGUGCCAGCAGCCGCCGCGG
rnacentral:rRNA from 1 species